rnacentral:rRNA from 1 species
GCAAGCAGCCAUAUCACCCUGCAACUCACAGGUGGCAGCCCCCUGAAGCUCAGCGGCUGUGAGCCUGGUCAGUACCUGGAUGGGAGACCUCCUGGGAAAAACUAAGGUUGCUGCUGGAA